GACGAACGCUGGCGGCGUGCUUAACACAUGCAAGUCGAGCGGUAAGGCCCUUUCGGGGUACGACGAGCGGCGAACGGGUGAGUAACACGUGGGUGACCUGCCCUCAGCUCUGGGAUAAGCCUGGGAAACCGGGUCUAAUACCGGAUAUGACUCCAUGACGCAUGUUGUGGGGUGGAAAGCCUUGUGCGGCUAAGGAUGGGCCCGCGCCUAUCAGCUAGUUGGCGGGUAACGGCCCACCAAGGC
rnacentral:rRNA from 1 species